rnacentral:rRNA from 1 species
GAGUAACCUGCCCUUGACUUUGGGGAUAAACUUCAGGAACUGGGGCUAAUACCGGAUAGGAGCUCCUGCUGCACGGUGGGGGUUGGAAAGUUUCGCGUUGGGAUGGACUCGCGGCUUAUCAGCUUGUUGGUGGGGUAGUGGCUUAUCAAGGCUUUGACGGGUAGCCGGCCUGAGAGGGUGACCGGCCACAUUGGGACUGAGAUACGGCCCAGACUCCUACGGGAGGCAGCAGUGGGGAAUAUUGCACAAUGGGCGGAAGCCUGAUGCAGCAACGCCGCGUGCGGGAUGACGGCCUUCGGGUUGUAAACCGCUUUCGCCUGUGACGAAGCGUGAGUGACGGUAAUGGGUAAAGAAGCACCGGCUAACUACGUG